CUCUUCCUCAGCUUGGGAGACAAGUUCUUUUUCGACACUGACUUUCAAUUCACUUUCUGCCACUGUAGUGGCAACAGGCCCAUCUUGCAGAUUCCUUUCCUUGGUACGUGUAGGUGUAUUUUCCUUAGCCCAGAGUGCCAUCUCCACAACAUCUAUUCCAACUACUUUGGGCAGACGGCCAAGUACAUCUUUGCAGAUGUUUAAGAUGCAAAAUAUAAGACGGUUCCUAUCAUCAACGUUGCGCAUAGUCCACUGAGGUGGAGUAACACUCUGGCUUCUAAGGUUAUCAAAUCCCAGGGUAAAUGUACAUCCACUAGGAUCAUUAGUUAUAACCUCCACCUUUGAAAGAUGCUUCAGCUUGUAUAACUUUGCAGGCUCAAGGACUCCUC
rnacentral:misc_RNA from 1 species